UUGUGAUUACAGUGUACGUCCGUUUGUUUGCCUUGAACUUCAGCCUAUCUCCUAUCAUCUCCUGUCAGGUUGUUGAAACGAACCCUUUCGUUGCAUGGCACAACCUGUUCUGUUGAACAAAAAAGCAAAAACCCAAAAAAUGAAGUAAAUAAUCAUUGUAAAAAAUUAGAAAGCAUCCUAAUGGUUAUGAAAAAAAUCAUGGCCGAAAAACUGAAAUAAAAAUCCCUAUUAUGACAGUAAGUGUGUUUCUCCUCUUUAGCCACACAUGCAGAGCUUAACAAGCCGGACAAAAAACAUUGUAAAAAGGUACAUCAAUAAUCAAAAGAUCAUGAACGUGCCUGUGCAUUGAGCACUGAUAUAAAAAAGAGAGUCAAGCUGCUACAACCUAAAAUUUAGUCUAAACUAGCAUAUAUUACUAGGCAUGACUGAACAAAACAACAAAAAAUAAAAAAAAAGUCUACAGGAAACGAGCUACAAAUGAGAAAAAUGACAACGACAGGAACAAGCAACAAAAAUCUACAGGAAACAACAUGCAUGGGUUUGAAAAUGAACAUCAAACCGUGAAUUCUAUUAAAUCUGCACACUCUACAUUCUACAUUCUACCUGGGUCAAAAAUGGCUAGAAAGAAAGAGAUACACUGAACUCUUAAAGAUGAACCAACCAUAUCAGUGCAAAAACAUACAGUUACAAAGAGAAGACUGCUGUUAGUAAGUAAAACACUAAUAAAAUCACAAUUUUUUUUUUGAUGUUGCUAGUUAAAUCAUGGCCAUGGUUUCUAGAAGUAAAGCCAAGCUGCAAACUUUAAUAAAUGAUCCCUAAUUUUUUAGACUUAUAAACUCCCUAUUAUGGCAGUAAGUGUCUUUCCACUCUCUAACCACACAGGAAUAGCUUGACACGCUGGAUAAAAAAAUUGAAUGAUUCAAUGUAAACAACUACCUAACUAGGGGCUCCCCUCUGCUUCAAAACUCACGGAGAAAAAAAAGGUCAACCUUCAACAAUAUAGUCUGUGAUGAUGAGUAUAAACUAAAAAAUAGUAUCAGAAAAUGAAAAAAUUCAAAUAAAAAAGAAACAGAGGCUUUUGAGUUACCCUUGCGUUUUUUAACUCCUUCCAGAGAUACAUGCUGAUGCCGCUUCCCCGGCUCUCGCGGUUGCAAGGGCUCAGACAAACUCUCAAACCAUCUCCUGUGCACAUAAAAAAGGCGUCAAACAUAAAUUUGUGCUAGUGAGAGGCAUACAUAUUCAGGUAAUGAUUUUAGUGAGAUAUAAAUUUGUGCUAGUGAGAGGCAUACAUAUUCAGCAAAAAAUCUGACAGAACAAAUAAACAUGCCCUACAACAUGAAUUGGAUAUAAAUCAUUAUCUCCUACAGUCAUAAGUCAAUCUCGAGUCUGCAUCAUGCAUUAGACAGAAUCAAAACAAGUGGAGAACUAGCAUGCACAAUGUGUAACUAGCAGGUACAGAAAUAUGCCUAAUUGUGGGCUGAAUACCGUAACACAGACCCCGUGCAUUCAGUUUGGGACCCCUGAAACUAAAUUCUAGGAUAUCAAAUAUUCAUUCUCUCUCUCAAUUUUCCACUUAUGACAUACACAAAGUAAGAACAAAACAAAUCUGGGUUCUGAAUCACUAUUGGUGCAGCAGGUCCUUGUGCUGCAAAAUGCCUACAUGCAUUCAGGCCAAAUGAACCAUGGCUACUACAAACAUAUUUAAAAGAAAAACAAAACCAACCACAACAUGCUCUAGACAACAUGUAGGAGAUCAAGUUGUCAAAAAAAAGGAAAAAAGAAUGGCUAACAGAGGUUAUAUACUAACAAAAGAAAGUCAAACUUAUAGGAAGCCUAAAACACAUACUCCUAUCUCUACAGAGGGAGCAAAAGGGAGCACUGCGCGCUACUGCGACUCGACACCUAACCCUUCUUUGUUACUUAUUAGGCUCAUUUUAUCCGACACACACCGUAACUAGUACUAAUCUGUUUCCUCGGCGCAGCGGCGUCAAAACAGUGUCAGGGGGAAGAGCGCAAAAACAAUCUGAACAAGGAUGGAAGUUACAGAAAUGGAAAUUCAUUUCCAGAACGUGACUGAAUCUAGCUAGAAGCAAAGGAACCAUUUUAUUUCUUAAUCACUCUCAAAACCAGGCUCGGUUCUUCACUAAAUGAUCUAUGUGUUUCUUCUAGGACAAGGAAUAACUCACUCACCCUCAGCCCGGGACAUUGCUAAUCGACAAGGGAAACGUGACUGAAUGCUCUCUUGAAGCAACUUCAGACACAAGGGGAACGCAAAAGAAAACUGAAUUGAAGAGAGGUGCCUCAGAAACAGAGCUUUGUUUAUCGUGGUAAGUGAUUCUAGCUACAAGCAAUGAACUGGUUCCAUCCUCAAUCACCACGUCGACGUGCCGAUCGACGCAGUCAGCGAGAGACACUAUUAUGCAUGAAUGCACAAAUGAAAAUCUUAAAAAAAAAAUAUAAACUCUGGGGGCAAUUCUCUGCUUGAAACUACUAAUCAAAAACUUGAUACAAACAAAUAAACAUGCCACUGCUAGAGAGAUAAGUUCAGUAAAUCAUUUAUCUUUGAUUCCGGAGAAAUAGAUAUGAAACAUGCUACUGAUCAUAGGGUUUCAGCAAAGAAAAAACUGGAAAAAAACAUGCCACUCCUAAAUGAUAGGUUCAGUAAUCAUCCUCUUGUUUUCCCCAGAGAAAUGAUAUCAAUAUCCUACUGAUUCGCAAAAGGUUUCAGCAAAGAUCUGAAGAUAAAAAUCACACACAAAAAAGGGGACACCCCUACAUGCCACAACUUGAAGAAAAAUGACACGAAAAGAAUUGGCUAAAAUCCUGGAGCCGAUUAUAUGGUUGAAGCUAUUAAUCUACACUUGAUACAAACAAAAACGACCCAAAUCUCCUCAGAUCUACGGUGUAGCAACAACAAACAAACAAAAAACAGAUGGAAAAAGAAGGUAGGGGAAACUUACUCCACCAGCAGCGGCCAUCCUCUCUCGUUGGGCGUGCAGCACGUCAAUCUGUUCGUUGAAGAAGCCUUGGAGCUCGGCGUCUCUUCUUCCCCUGCGGAGUUCUUCCGAUUUGAGACUGGGGAAUGGAGAGAGACAAAGUGG
rnacentral:lncRNA from 1 species